GGGCGAUUAGCUCAGUUGGUUCAGAGCACUAUCUUGACAAGGUAGGGGUCACUGGUUCGAAUCCAGUAUCGCCCA
rnacentral:tRNA from 2 species